CUAUGUUUGUAGGAAUCAAGCUGAUCCUGUUUAUACUGCCCAUUUGAUCUUUCUGGAAAGAGACUAUAAUUCAAACCCCUUUUUUUUUCAGUCUAAUAGCUGUUACUCUUUUGUUUCAUCUGAACCCCACACUUUUCUCUGGAUUCCAGCAAUGGUGGAAAAGGGCUUGCUUCCCUCGAGGUUUCUUUUCUACUUAGUAACCAUUUCUAUGUUCCUUUUGAUCCUUUCAUCUGUGUUUCUUCUCGAAUUUAGAAAUACUUCCAUCAUACCCACAUCGGUAUUUAAGCUCUUCCUUGUUAAUAGCUCAUCAGCUGACAUCAAACCCAAUGUCAGAAGUGAACAAACGACACUUCCUUUGAUCCCCUCUGGGAAUACACAAAUUAAUUCUGAAAGGUCCAUGAGAAGUGGAAGAUUGGGAUGUCAGGUGACCAAUUCGAGUAGGGAAAUCUAUUCUUUUGGAAAGCAGAGAAAUAUUGUCUGCGAUGCUAGUCAGGCUCUCUUGAGGGUGUUUAUGUACGACUUGCCUCCUGAAUUCCACUUUGGACUAGUGGGUUGGAAGGGGAAGGUGAAUCAAACAUGGCCAAAUGUCGAUAACCCAAGUCGGAUCCCAUCAUACCCAGGUGGGCUGAAUUUACAACACAGUAUAGAGUACUGGCUUACCCUUGAUCUUUUGUCUUCGAACACCCCAAAUGUUGUUAGACCCUGCACCGUCAUAAGAGUGAAGAAUUCAAGUCUAGCAGAUGUCAUUUUUGUUCCAUUCUUCUCAUCUUUGAGUUACAACAGGCAUUCUAAGCUUCACCUCAAGGAGAAAGUUAGUCUUAACCAGAUAUUGCAGGAAAAUUUGGUUAAGUUUUUGAAGGGUCAGGAAGAAUGGAAGCGAUUGGGUGGAAAGGAUCAUCUAAUUAUUGCCCACCAUCCAAAUAGCAUGUUAGAUGCAAGAAGCAAGUUGGGUUCAGCCAUGUUUGUGCUCGCAGAUUUUGGAAGAUACCCAGGUGACAUUGCAAAUCUUGGGAAGGACAUAAUUGCUCCUUACAGGCAUUUAGUGAGGACCAUCCCCAAUCGUGAAUCAGCCCCAUUUCACAAACGUCCUAUAUUGGCAUAUUUCCAAGGGGCAAUAUACAGGAAAGAUGGAGGAAUCAUUCGCCAAGAACUAUUUUACCUUCUCAAAGAUGAGAAGGAUAUACACUUCACAUUUGGCAGCAUUCGAGCAAAUGGGAUUAAAAGUGCAGGCCAAGGGAUGUCAUCGUCCAAGUUCUGCCUAAAUAUUGCUGGAGACACCCCUUCUUCAAAUCGUCUCUUUGAUGCCAUUGCAAGUCAUUGUGUUCCUGUGAUCAUUAGCGAUCAGAUUGAGUUACCAUUCGAAGAUGUCUUAGACUACUCAGAGUUUUGCUUAUUUGUCCGUGGAUCUGAUGCUGUAAAAAAGGGUUACGUACUGAAACUUCUUAGAGGAAUUAAGCAAGACAAGUGGACCAGAAUGUGGGAAAAGUUGAGGGAGAUUGCGCACCAUUUUGAAUACCAGUAUCCAUCCAAGCCUGGGGAUGCUGUGGAUAUGAUUUGGGAAGAAGUUUCACGCAAGAUAUCUUCAAUUCGUUUUAAACUCCACAGGAAUAACAGAUACAGCAGAUCUCAGUUUCGACUACAGAAUGAUUCAUCCUCUUAAAAGAGUCCGAGAUUUCUUGACCUUGGAGUAUAUGGAAAAUCUCCAAAAAUCGGCUAGAUGAAGGGCUUAUUAGAGAGGCACAAGCUUAGUCAGUUUGAAGAUCUGUUAGUGCUUUUGUUCGCUUAUAAUGAUUCACACCACUGGUUAGCCGCUAGCCGCCUCUUCCUUUGAGAUGUCCCAUUGCCACCUCCCUCUCCACAGUAAAAGAUAAAGCUUCAGCAUGUCAACACCUAUUAUGAAUAGGGUCUGAUCCUUUUCGAACUCUCCUUUUGUUCGACUGAUUUGGAUCGAACAUUAUUGAAGGUGCAGGUGCCAAACUGAGCUUGGUAUUUGUAUCCUCCACAGCAACAGCCUCUAGGACUCGCAAAUGUUCAAGAAAUGGUAAUUGUACUUUGUCCCAUUUCAGAGCAACACCAAUGCUUCUCAGGCCUGCAACCUCAUCUGGUUGAAGAGCUAAAACCCCAAUACAAACAAGAAGAAUGACUCCUCUACAAACCAAAGGACCCAUAUGCUUGUACUCCACAAAAACAAGAAUAUGUUGUGUGUCUGAGCUCCCUAUUGCUUAUGCCGUAUUCCUCCUCUAAGAAUACGCCUGAGGUUUAUCUUUUAUGGGAUUUGGAAGGCUAAAAGCAUAAAGCAAAAGGUGGCCCCACAAAACAUCUAUGGAAGUUUUAGAUUCACCUCAAUCAUAAGCCUGCCACAGAAGCAAUAAAAGGCUGUUUUGGAAGACUGACGGGUUUGAAUGAAAAGAUAGUUUGGAACACUAUCCUUGGGAAGCCAAGUAUCUUUGCAUCUGGUUUCCCCUAAAUCUCCAUGUCAUUUGCCUUGUCCUUUUUUUACCAAACCAAGACCAACAAGGACUCUUGAACUCUUUAGCCAACUGACCACGUAAUCCGACCACACUGACAUGUCCUUGCAUCAUGCUAAAUGCUUUACAUGCAGGUUGAAUCCAAUAGAUCCAUCUUAAAACAUCUUAUUUUUUAAAACUGUUUGUUUUCUUUUUUCUAAGUUUGUUUCUGCUUACAUGAUAUAUCAUCAUCUA